rnacentral:lncRNA from 1 species
CUGACUUCAUUUCUUGCCCCUUUACCACAAAACUGAAAACACUGGCACCUUCUCUGACAGCAGGAAACCUGACUGCUUUGUGGAAACUGACCGUUGAAUACCCUUUUCUCUUUACCUCUCUAUCUUCAAUUAUACCUCCUCAUAGGGCUGCCUUAUUGCUUCCCUCAUUAUAUAGACAUGUCUGUUUCCAGGCUCUAUUUAGAACAUAUCUUCAGGUGAAUUAACACUGUUUAUCUCUCCCUUGGCUCUUGUUAUCCAGCAUGUAUCACCUGCCUUCUUUAAAACCUUAUUUUGUGGUGUCUCUGUGAUUAGCGCUUAGAAGUUACUUAGCAUUUGGGAGGAGGAAUGGUUAAGAUUCACUUGUCUGGUAAUUGAGGCUUGUUUUCCUUCCUCCCUUCACUCUGACCAAGUGCCUCAGGCCCAGCACUGAUUCGGGAUGACCCAUUCCAUUGAGAUUCUCAUCCCCUCCCACUUAUGGCUGAUCAGCAAGGCUUUUCAUAUCUCUGCAGGGGCUGCUGUCUUGCCCUUGAAAUUUCCCAAACUCUGGAUGUAGGGGACUUGGCCCUGGGUCAGAACCCUCCCCCUGCAGUAAUGUAUACUAUUAAGCAAAUGGCACUGAGCAAUGUUCUUUCCCCAAGUCAGAAUGCUCCCAUUUAGGUAGAAUUUGAGCCUGCUGCUGGCAGUUAGGAGCCAGAAUGGCAAAGGGAAAUACAAUGUAAAAGCAAUAUGAGUUUGAAUGAAAUUAUGAUAAGUGUCAGAUGGCACCAUUACCCACAGCCCCAUAGGCAGGCAUUAGGGAAGCUCUGUAAUACAAUGCUGGAACAGGAUUCCAAUAGUGGAAGGAAGAGGAGCAUUCCAAACUGGACUGUGAAACAAACAUGUGAACUCUUUGUGGUCCUUUGGGAGCCACGGAUGUAGAAUGAGUGGCUAUGAUUUGUCUGUUGGUUAGAUGAAUGAAUACAGCUCUGGGAUGUUGUAUAUUUCUAGAAUAUUGAUAUUGUGUAUAUCAAUACUUACAUGUAUUUACAGCAUAUUUUCUCCUUGAGCUAAGGAAAAAAGUUAUAUUAAUGUCACAUUUAUUUUCAAUAAUCAGAGUACUGGGUAUUACACACAAAUGAACUCCCAGAUAACUGAAAUUUACUCAUGUGAAAUGUGAAACUAGUUUUAGCUUGACCGUGUUAGGGAGAUAAUUUUCCCAAUGAAAUAAUUGGGUAAAUGUAAUCCUAUGUUAUUAAACUGAAUAUACCAAAUAUAUGUUAUUUCUUGAUUGUUCAGUUUACCAUUAUCAGUAACUAUAAUAUUUUUCGUUGGGAAAGACUUCAUCUGGAAAGCGACAUUAGUGAGUUCCGUUUGUGACUCAGUGGCUUAAGAAACCAACUUAGUAUCCAUGGCCUCACUCAGUGGGUUAAGGAACCAGCAUUGCUGCAAGCUGCCAGGUAGGUCACAAAUACAGCUGGGAUACAGAGUUGCUGUGGCCCUGGGGUAGGCUGCAGCUGUAGCUCUGGUUAGCCUCCUAGCCUGGGAAAUUCCAUAUGUACAAUGGGUAACAUGAUCAACAAGACAGAAGAAUGCAAAUGUAUAUCAGAUUUGAGAAGAGUGAGCAGUCAGUCUUACGUAAAUAGGGUAUAGGGAUAUACAGUGCCUAAUAUAGCUAGGGGAUGAAAUAUCAGAGGAAGAUGCUAGAAUAGACAGUUGUGAUUAAAUUGUAGACGACUUUGUAAGUCAUUAUAAAAAGUGUGAAUUUCAACUAAUAUACAAGGGUGAGUUGUCAAAGGCUUUUCAGCAGGGGAGUGAUAUAUUCUCCUUGAGAUCAUGUCUAUGUCUUUAUGUCUGUAUCACAGGCUGCAUUAAGGAAUAGCUGGGGAGAUGCUUAACACCCUUGCAAUCUUCUUCAGUCCUUCCCCUGAUGGCCAUUUCUGCAAUGUAACAAAAAGGGCUGUGCAAACAGCUUCCAUCCCCUUUCCAAGCAGAUUAUUGUCCCCACAGCCCUUCAAAAUAAAAAUUCUGAAGUGACCUCUGCUUUGUGUUUAUAUCUCCAUGUAUCUCAAUGUCUAGAAAGUGUUUACUACACGCUAGGCAUUGCAUCCUUUUCUUCUUUAUGCACAUUUUCCCAUUUUAAUUUUUCAGUAGUCUCAUGAAAAUAACAUUAUUGUUACCUCCCCAUUUGAAAGAGGAGCAGACCGAGGCUCAGAGAAGUUAAAUAACUGAUCAGUGGUCACAAGGCUAAAAGGUGGCAAGGCAGGACUCAAUCUGUCUGUUCUUGAAGCUCAGCCUAAAGGUGACAUUGACUUAGGUUAAGACACUGGCAGUGGGCCCUGAAAAGAGGAAUUACUUUUGAGAUUAUUUAGGAAAAAAAUCUUUCAAAAUGUCCAGAAAUUCAUUAAUUCAGUUCUGGUAGGACUGUGUUAUGAACCUUUGGAAGUAUCUAUUUAUGCACAGAGAUUAUUUAGAAGAAAGGAGCUUGUCAAGGCAUUCAUUUGAGAGGUCAUUUUGAAACUACUCAUAAGAAAUGGGAUAUUUUUUGUGUGACUGACUUCAGCUUGUGUGUAUGAGUAGCCACUAUUAUUGUUAUUGUGUGUACCCAACAGUAACGAGCCAUAAGUGAUUUUUAGACUCGGGCUUAAAUGACUAAUAAAUUAGAUUCACCACCCCAUCCCUAUUUGUCUUACUCUGUAAGUUUGUGGUCCUAGUUUUUCCUUAAUAAAACAAAGCUCACGUUUUUCUAGAUGUUAGCAUCCAGAAUUCUUUCACAGGCAUUUUUCUUAGUUGACUUGCACAUGGUGAUGUAAAUAAAUGAGGAAGAGAAGAUAUUUAAUGGCCUGCCCAAGGAAAUACAGAUAAUUAGUGGCUGAGCCAGACUAGAAGUCAUAGUUCCUGACUCCUGUGUGUUCUCUGCUUACACAUACAUGGACAUAGCAGGUGCUCAGUUAGUGACUAUCCAAGGGAUAAAUGAAUACAUAGCUAAUAUUAGCAUUGAGUUAUGAACGAAUUGAUACUAAAUUUAUACUAAUUAAUGAUUUCCAAUGCCUGCUCACAAUCCUUUAUUUUAAUGCCACGCUAAGGAUAAUUCAAAUGAACCAUUGCAGUUAACUUCACUGAGGAUAAACUAGCGCUCUAUUGAUUUUGCAGUAGCUUCCAGGGAUUGUGGUGGUGGUUAAAUGUCAUUUUUUUGAUAAAAAGUAAUUACAUUUGGUUAUACAGGAAGGAUGAUUUGUGGUAUAGAAAACAGUAGAUGAGAGAACUUAGGUUCAAAUCCCUGCUCUGUAACUUAUUAAACAUUCUGAUCUUAGGGAAAUUAGGAAACAUUCUGAGCCCCAAUUUCUAUGUUGAUAAGGAUAAUAUUAUAUGCAUCAGUAGGGUUGCUAUGAAAAUCAACUGAGAUAAUAUAUAGGUGGAUGUUCUUUGUGUACUAUAAUAUACUGUACAAAUGCUAUUUGGGGAUUUUGUUAUUAUUUGAUGUUUUAGAUAAGAUUAAAGAAUAUUCAGUAAUAGCCACAAUGCCAAGAAAACCAUGUAACUCCAGUCAGAAAGGAAGGGCUAUAAAGAUGACCAGCCAACAUUACAUUGUAUUCUAACAAAGCAAAAGUUGGAAAUACGUAACGACUCAUUGUUACCAGGCUUACAAAAGGGAAUGUUUCUGGGAGGCAGACAUUCCUUUUUAAAAUUCGCUGUUAGGGGCAUUGCUUGAAAUGGCUUUGUGGUGAAGUGAUUGAAUGUGGAUUUGCGGGCGGAUGACCCAUUUUCCACUAACGUCUCACUCUCUGAAAUAUGACUGCUUUGUCCGCCAAGCUCUGAAGGAGUUGGGCUGUGAAAUCUAACUUACAUGUGUGAAAAUCUACAACAUUAGGGUCCAAGGGCAGGUGGAAAUGUAUUUGCUGUUUUGAAUUUCUUAGUUGUGUUGGUUUGCUUCAUUCCAACCUACCGGGAAACAAACGCACUAUUUUCUACCCCAAACCAGCUCCUUCUCUUGCUUUUCCUAUUACUGUUUCCAGCCCUUUGUUUCUCUCUUUCUUCCCUAGUCACCAAGUCCAGUGACAGCGUCUUAUAUGUGCAUUUCCUCCUCCCUAUAGUCACCAUUUCAUACCCUUAUUGUCUAUGUGCUCUAGAGUCUACUAACUAAUCUCCCUGCCUCCAGCCUCUGUCACCUUGAUGCGUCCUGUCACCUCUCCAGAUGAAUCUGCCAAAACCACUGCUGUGGAUCAUUUCAUCUCCCCACUCAGAUGCUUCUGUGGUUCCCAGUUGCCAACUGAGCAUUCACUUAUCCAGGCUUACCACAAUCUGUUCCAGACCUUAUGUCCCCCCGACUCUCUAUGGACUGUAAUCAAAAUUUUUUUUUCAUGUUUUUUGAAUUAAAUCUUGCUUUUCCCACUCACUGUGCCUUUUUUACCCCCAUCUUAAUAGUACAUUUUUAAUUAAAAUUUUUUAAUUAAAAAUAUUUUAUCACUGUGGCUUUCUUCAAAAUUUUCCUUGCCUUUGGAAGCGUCUUCCUCAUCCUUAUCCCUACCAAACAAUGCCCCAUUCGUUAGGGUGCAGCUCAGUAUACAUCUCAUAUAUGGGGCUUGAAGUCAAAUGUACCAGGCUAAGAUCAUGGCCUCAUUACCCCAGGAUAAGUUAUCUCAUAUGAUCUAUGAUCUAUCCUCUUAGAGCCUCAGUUUCCCAGCCUGGGAAAUGAUGAUAGCCCUAUGACGUAGGUGCUUAUUAUUCCUGUAAUGCAUGAAAGCCUGACCACGUGCCCAGAUAGCAUAAUCACCCAAUAGAAGGUAGUUGUUGCCAGUGAAAGAGAAGAUACAACUCCCCUGUGAAUUUUGAAACAACUUUGUACCACUCUCAGGGGAUUUAGUUUAUACUGGUUUGUCAAUAUUUUUUCCUGUUUCCCUCCUUAAAGAUUGCAGACUCCUGGAGGUUGGGAGACCUUAGGGUAUUUCUAUGUGCAGUGCUUGCAUAAGAUGUUCAGUAAUCAUUUACUGAAGGUGCCAGGGUGGUCCUGGGAAACUGGCCAGGAUCCUGGGCCCUCUGCUUCCUCCACCUUGUUUCAGGAGUAAGUAAGCAAGUAUGUGCAUGGUCUUCACUGGCAGAGUCUAGGUUUCAUUCAGCCCUUCUGUUAGUCCUACUGGUUUUAAAACUACCUAAGAGAAGUCAUCUUCCUGGUGUCAGGCCUCAGGCCUGGAGGGCCCAAUAUGUGGCUUGAACUGCUCACUCCCUAGGGAGGAUCUCUGCCCUUGAAAUUCUCUUCCUUUUCUGUCACCUCCCAGAGGCAUAUGUCUUGACCUGGUAACAUUUUUCCCUUCCAAUC